UGUUAAAAUUUUCAUCUAUUUCUACUGUUAAUAACUAGCAUGACUGACAGAAUAACCAAAGAGUGACAUGUGUCGUGCCACUUAUACCUCAUACUGACGUACUGAGGCUAGUUUUUAUAAAUGAAAAUAAAUGAAAUUCUUAACA
rnacentral:pre_miRNA from 1 species